GACGUCACUUCCCCGCCGGCUCUGACAGCGGCUUGGUCGGCUGAGUGGCGGAGCAGACGGGGACUGGGAAGGCGCCUCGGUGACAUCACGGAGAGGGUGACUAAUAUGCAGAUGAGGCAGCGCAGGGGCUGCUGCUUGGCCACCUGCUGCUUCCCGACGAAGGAGUUUCCCGCUGUGGGAGCGAGUCCAGGACCGCCGGUCUGACCCGAGAUCCGAGCUGUGUGUCCGGGCUAGGACGGCUGGGGGUGCGGUGCCCGCGGCAAGUGACCGUGCGUGUAAAGGGACAGUAUCUGGAAAGCGAGUUCUCUUUUUCUUCGCUACAAUGGAGUGUCUGCUGCUGUCUCCGGCAGAGCUGUGAGUUAUGGGCGGCGCUGUUUAUGCAGAGAUUCCUCUGUGGACCUCCAUGCCAGCCUUCAGGUUCCAGCUCGGUCAGCUCUGAUUGCGAGGCUGCACUCUUGCCUAGAUAACGGAGGAAGAAGAAGACCCUGUGCCUUAUUAUUAUUGUUUUACUACUUAUGCUUUAUUAUUUAUUUAUUUAGAGACAGGGUCUUGCUCUGUAGCACAGGCUAGAGUGCAUGGCAUGAUCUCAGUUCACUGCAAGUUCAGCUCCCAGAUUCAAGCGAUUUUCCUGCCUCAGCCUCCAGAGUAGCUGGGAUUAUAGGCACAUGCCACCAUGUCCAGCUAAUUUUUAUAUUUUUAGUGGGGGUUCACCAUAUUUGCCAGGCUGGUCUCAAACUCCUGACCUCAAAUGAUAUGCCUGUCUCGGCCUCCCAAGGGGCUGGGAUUAUAGAUAUGAGCCACCUCGCCCAGUAUAUUUAUGAUUUAAAUGUGAUGUUUCCUUAGGGAAAAAUUUUCUUGUUGAAUUUCUAACAUGAAAAAAUAAUAGAUUUAGCUGUAAAUGAAAUUAAUGGUCUUGAUGGUUUGGUACAAUAAAAGAAAUAAAGCUGGUCGCAGAGAGGAAUCUGAUACUUUUGAACAAUUUAAAUGAUGUAAAGAUUUAAUAUAUUAAGACAUCAAAAAGUGCAUUACAUUAUUUUUAAAAAAUCAGUGCGACUCUUUUGACAAAUUAGAAUGGCUUAAUAAUCUUGGUUAUGCUGGGUGUGGCGGCUCACGCCUGUAAUCCCAACACUUUGAGAGGCCAUGGUGGGUGGAUCAUGAGGUCGAGAGACUGAGACCAUCCUGACCAACACAGUGAAAUCCUGUCUCUACGAAAAAUACAAAAAUUAGCUGGGCGUGGUGGUACAUGCCUGUAGUCCUGCUGCUUGGGAGGCUGAGGCAGGAGAAUCGCUUGAACCCAGGAGGCAUCGGUUGCAGUGAGCCAAGAGUGCACCACUACACUCCAGCCUGGUGAUAGAGUGAGACUCCAUCUCAAAAAAAAAAAAAAAAAAAUGGUUUUAGAACCAGAGAAAUGAAAUGGGAGACUUACUUCCAAUGAUACCUAAAAAUUCCUAUAAGAACUGAGAAAAUUGCCUCCAUUGAGGAGGAAACUGAAGGAGGUAAGCAGACUUUUUCUGAGUUGAGAAAUACUGAGGAGGUGUUGCUCUUUGGCCUCCACCUGCUCCUUCUCCUCCGGCCCUGUACCUGCAUAAUCUCCCUCACCUGAUUUGUCCUGUCCUGCCUUGCCUCUUCUUCCAUCAUUGUCACCUAAGGAGAGUCCCCAGGGCUCUGGCCCCUUCCCUGAAACUUCUGUUCUGACAGCCCCUUUCAAGGUAAUUCCCACAGGGAGAGGGGAGCCUACCACUGUGUAUUCCACUUCACCAUAAUGUAAAUUAAGAAUAUUAUAUAUAAGACUUCCCUGGUCUAAAUGUAAAUACAUUUUCCCCUUCUGUUUCUAAAGCAGGCUCCAAGAUCCUAUAGGGUUUGGGAGAAAAUUUGACUUAACUAUUGAAACCUUUGAGCCCAAAUAUUCUGACCUUCAUCAAUUAAUUCACAUGCUGGUGUAAGAAGGAAAGACCAGUAAACUGGAUACAAAAGGCGAAAUGGAAGGAUUUUCAACAACAGACUGAAGAAGAACAUGAAAGGGUCUGCAUUUUGGUUAAGUGACUCCGUGUUGCCAUUCCCCAGGUCCUUCCUAAAAAUGUAGAUUGGGGGAUAAUUCAGCCAUGUACUAAAAGCCAGACAAAUCUGUCUUUUCUUACUUAAAAUGGUUUGAGAGCCAGGUGUGGUCGCUCAUACCUGUAAUCUCAGCACUUUGGGAGGCCGAGGUGGGUGGAUCACUUGAGGUCAGGAGUUCGUGACCAGCCUGGCCAACGUGGCGAAACCCCUUAGCUACUAAAAAUACAAAAAUUUGCCGGUUGGCUGAAGCAAAAGAAUCACUUGAAACCUGGAGGGAGAGGUUCUAGUGAGCCGAGAUCUUGCCACUGCAAUCCAGCCUGGGAGAUGGAGUGAGACUCUGUCUCAGAAAAAAAAAAGAAAAAGAAAAAGAAAAACAACAACAAAAACACCAUUUCUAAACAGUUUGAGUGGUUUGAGAACAUGUGUCUUUAUUCAACCUUCAAGCCAAGGACAGUCUAAAGCCUGAAAACUGUGCUAUCAGUUCUGGAUAGAAUCCACAGAUCAGAUUGAGAAUUUCCAUCUCCAUCUUACCCACUCUCUUGAUUGGUUCUUUCUGAAUGAUGCCUUUUGACCAAUCGAAUGGUGCCUUUUCCAAGCCCCCGUAAACCAAUCAGCAUCCAUUCCCCCAUUCUAAGCAUAUAAAAUCCCUGGAAAAAGCCAAAGAGAGGGUUACCUACUUUCAGUUCCCCUCUUGCUGUCAAGAGCUUUGCUUUCACUCAAUAAAUCCUACUCUGCCUUACCCCACCUCCUGUGUCUACAUACCUCAUUCUUCUUGGUCACUAGACAAGAACCUGAAACUCACCAAACUGCGAGAGACAAAGAACUGUUAAGCUUCUCUCCUCCUGGAGUUGCAGAUAGUGGGAGUAAAAUGGCUGUAACAUUCCUGCCUGCUGGACUUUCUGCCUUAUCCCCUCUUCUGUGUCUGCACACCCUCUUCCUCUUGCUCACCAGACAAAAACCUGGAACUCGCCCAACUGCGGGAGUAAAAGAACUGUUAAGCUCUUCCUCCCUGAGCUGGGGGCAGUGGGAAUAAAAAAGCUGUAAUAUUCCUGCCUGCUGAACUACGGAAGUAAAAAAGCCGCAACAGUAUGGUACGCCAACAUUGGCUUCCAGGAGUCUUCUUAUAUUCUUUUAGUAGUUUUCAUAAAUUUUUAAGCAGUGAUAUAAUUUUUACAUUGCUUAUGUACAAAAUGAUGAUACUUGCAAAAAUAAUCCGUUUUUUUCCAUUGCAAUACUGAUACUAGUAGGUGCAAAUGUAAUUAUAGUUUUGCCACUACUUUUAAUGACAAAAACCAUAAUUAUUUUGCACCAACCUAACAACUUUUAUUUCUUUUGCUCAACUUCUUCAUAGGCUAUUUUUCAAUACACUGAUGAAUUAGACAUGAUAAUGGUGGACAUCUUUGAUUCUUGCCUGAUCUCAAGAAAAGAACUUUUAAUAACUUUACUUGAAUCCUAAUUCAUUUCUGAUUAAUAACAGUAUUUUACAUGGGAGUUAAAUUUCGUCAAUUUUUUUAACCUUUUGAAAUAGUUUUAUUCUAUAAAUAAAGAUAAUUGCAUUGCUGAGUUUCAAUUAUAACAACAAACUUUCAUUUCUGAAAUACACCCUGUUUGGAACUUGACAUAUUGAUCAUUUUAUAUCUUAUAAAAUUAGAAUGUAGUUCUUAAAUAUUUUCCUUCAUAUUUUUGGUUAAGUUUAUGAGAAAGAUUAGUAUGCAUGUUCCUUUUUUUAAUAGCCUUAUUGAUUCUUGCUAUCAAAGUUUUUCUGGCUUUAUAAUGUUAAUUAAUACAUUCUAUCUUCUUUGUUCCUGAAAGAAUUUAUGUUAAAAAAAAAAAGAUGCUAUUUGUUUCUUAAAUGUUUGAAAUAAUUCAAGAAAACCAGGCAAGGGUUUUACUUGAUAAGUUUUCUAUAGCUCCUAUAAUGUUUACAACAGACAUAAGAUUAUUCAAAAUUUCACUUGUGUCACUUUUGUUUUUUUUCUGUGAAUUUUCAAACAAUGUUUAAAAUUAAGGUCUUAUCAAUCUUACUGGAUAAAAAUGCCAUUUUUGAGUCUUGUGUAAGUUGUCAGAAUUGGUUAGUUUAUAAGUUGCUGGUAGUUCUUAACCAGUGUUGGGGCUCAGCAAUUGAUACCCACACAUAUGGCAUCUUGAGGUGUUGAAGUGAAGAAACCUCUAGUUCUUUCUAACCUUCUUCUCCUCCCUCCUGUCUCUCCAUUCUUUGUCUCUCCAAAACACAGGAUAAAGUUGUUCCCCAAGUUUUCUUAUCUGCCAAAGGCUGGAACCACCAAGGAAGAAAUCAAUACUUUGGUCCCUUCCCUUAGUUUUUAUUAUCUGGAUUCCUAUUUUAGGAAGAAAGAUUGAAGUUUGUCAGAACAUCAGAACAGACUCUUGUCAUAAACCUUUGUCUGCUCUAUGGUCCCAAAAGUCAUUGUCAUUGUAGGGUCUUCAAACCCAUUGAAUUUCCGUAAAAAUCAUUUACUAUUCCCCUAAUAUUAUCCACAUUUUCCCAUCUCCACUUUCUCUAAGAAGGGAACAUGGUCACCUGUACCUCAUUGUGUGAUAGUGUAAUAACUCUGUGGUUCUUCCCCAUGCACAUUAAUAAAUUUAUAUCGCUUUUCUCUUAUUAAUCUGUCUUUCAUAAGCUGAUUUUCAGUGAACCUUCAGAGGGCUAAGAGGAAGUUUUCCACGGUCCCUACACCGGCCUCACUGAAUUUCACAAGACAUGCGGAAACCAUUCAGUCAAGGGAUACUACCACAUAAAUUUCAGGAGCUCUUUCUCUGUAUAUUUCACUUUUCUCUGCUACUUUAUCCAGUAAACUACAGGUACUUCAGUCUCCCCCACAGCCCAAGCUCUGUAUUCUUAACCAAUUCUGUCUUGUUUCUCACUCUGAGCUAUAUAGUCCAGGAAGUGCCUCAGGCAGAAAUCCAUGACAAUUGCAGUGCUCACUUAAAUUGCUUUACUUCUUUCAGGGAUCACAGUCCUAUGCUGGCUGCGAACUAAUUUCUGCAAACAGAUUUUUCCUUAUAUUUUCUCCAAUUUUUCCAGUUGUUUUUAAAGAGAGGGCAAGCCUAGGUUUAGCCACAAAUUUAUGGCUAGAAGCAAAAGUCUUCUCUCUAAUUUCGUCACUUACUGUGCUUUCACAGUCAAUUUCAAGGUGUAUGUAUCACAGAUAUCACUGUUCAUAAAGGCAGGAUUCGUUGCAAUGUUUGACUUUCUCUUUACAUUUUCCCCAUAACUUCUGCUUUCCCAAUGCAUUACAUAUUUAUCUUUUUUCUUUUUUUAAAUUUUUUUCGGUUAUUGAUGGGAAAUUGUAUCACUUUUUAUUUGAAGGAACUGGAAGAGACAGUAAUGAUCUUCUGUACAUUCUGAAUAUUAUUCAUAGUUUCUAGUUGAGCAUAUGCUUAAUGUAAUCUCUAUUAUUUAAAAAUGAUUACAUUUACAUAAUUUACAUAGAAAAUAAUGUUACAAGGCUUUAAAAAAGUUAUCUCUCUCCUCAACCAGUUUUUGAUCCUCUAUCCAUAAUUUUUUCUGCUAUUCAAGGACUAAGGUCUGAUUUUUUAUCUUGCCCAAAUUCCUAACUAAGGGGUCUAGGGAGUAAUGCCCUACAAAAUCAUAAAUUCUUAUCAAAUGUGUUUUAUUUAAACCUAUAUAUUGUGACUUAGUUAUUCAGUCUGACUCUGGCAUAACAUUAUGAGACACGGAAAAAAUAACCCCAAAAUAUAUUUCCUUGUCAUACCUUGAAAUUCCCAUUCAAAGUCUCUUGUAGAAAAAAUCUACCUUCUAUAGAGAUUCCCCUUCCACCUUAGUUUUCCUUCCUUUCUUUCCAGAUCCAGGAGAUAUCAACUAAGAGCCAGACAUCCUUUUAGUUUCUGAUAAAAAAUGUCUUACAACCUGCUCUCUCUCUGAAGUCUGCUAUCUGAGAGAUUCCUCUGCACAGUAAAACUUAGUCUCCACAAUACUUUAUCUUAACCUGAACAUUCCUUUCCAUUAAUCCCAGAUCUUCAGAUAAACUCAACCAAUUGUCAUCUAGAAAAUGUUUAAAUUUACCUAUAACCUGGAAGCCCGCCCCUCCCCUCAACUUUGAGUUGUCCUGCCUUUCUGAACCAAACCAAUGUAUUUCUUAAAUGUAUUUGAUUGCUGUCUCAUGCUUCCUUAAAAUGUGUAAAACUAAGCUGUGCUCCGACCACCUUGGACACUUGUUAGGAUCUCCUAAGGGCUGUGUCAUGGGCCAUGGUCACUCAUCUUUGGCUCAGAAUAAAUCUCAUCAAAUAUU